UAUUUAAGAUAUUAACGACUUCUUCUCUGGACCUAAGCAAUGUUUGACAUUUAUAUUUCAGUGGUAACAUCUCUAGAUGGCUGGGAUUUAAAUUAAUACAACUGAUGGGCUGAUCCCCCCAGGUGCUUCAAGGGCAGGGCAAAAGGGAUCAGUCCAAGCUGCAGUAAGGAAUGCUCCAUAUGCCAGAUCUAGAUCAGGAAACAGCUACAUGGUAUCCAGAGCUACAAAACAAAAAGGCCAGUCUGUUACAGGUGAUCCUGUGGCUGAUUAUCUCCCCUACAUUGAUUGAUGUUAGGAUCUAUGUACAUGUCUAUAGCUCCAGAAAAUGCCCAACAACCUGAAACUUAAACACUUUUCUGCUCAAGAUGUUGUUCUGUGUAAAGUAAAAUGGAAGUUGUCUAAGAAGGUGAUCCUGUGAGUGAUUGUCUCCCUUACAUUGAUUGACAGUGGGAUCUACAUGGAAGUCCAGAAAAUGCCCAACAUGCUGUUUGAUAUUUAAAAAGUUUGUCGCUCAGAUGUAGUUCUUGGUCAGUGCCAAAACCCUAGAGAUAUACUCCACUUUCAACGAUAGAUACUGGUAUGACAUCACACAGGAUAUAUACUGAUUUGGCAUGAUGGCACAGCUAGAAAGAUGCUUGUAUUUGAAGAAAGCGUUACAACAUUUUAAUAUGAUUUUUUUUUAUCAACCUGCUGUGACUUUCUUAAAACAGAAACAAGUGGAAUCACUAACCAUUUUAGCAUCUAAGAAAGAUUGUUUUUCAACUUUACCAACAGGGUAUGGAAAGUCCUUGAUACAUGAACUGUUGCCUGUUUUUGUUGAAGACUUACUUGUUGUGGUAAUUUGUCCAUUGAAUUUGAUUAUUUCUCAAGAACAAUCAAAGCUAGGAAAUUUGACAAAAUUUAUUCGGAAUAUUGAAAGUGAAGAGAAAGUGAAAUACACGUGUACAUUUUUGGCCAUCCAGAAGAUAUUUUGAACAACUCUUUUUAUUAUAUAUUUAUUUAUUUAUCCAUUUCUCAGUCUUCAAAACAUUUAUUCUUAGUUGUUGAUGAAGCACAUUGUAUUGUUAACUGGGGGCAAGAUUUCACACCUGCAUUCAGAUUAAUACCAGAUCUAUUAACUGCUUUGGAAAAUGUAACUAUUUUGGCUUUAACAGCAACAUCAACUUCAGACAGUCGUGCAGAUAUUAUCAAGACAUUAUGUAUGAAUAAACCCAGUAUUAUAAAUAUCUCCAGUAUUGAAUGAAAACAUAUAUCUGAGAUUAUGGACUCGUCCACCAAGCACUGGGGGAAAUCAAACUGUUGAAGCAUCAUAUGAGCGCGUUUUAAAAUUAUUCUUAUGUGAAAUGUUGGAAAACAUGGAUAAUUUCCCUCCGACAAACAUUUACACAAAGUUAAAGUGGUGUGGGUAUCGAGUGGAGUUGGCACACAAUCCAUCAUGAUGAGAUAUACAGUGGUGGGUAUACAGUCCAGAACUGUAGAGUUGUGCAGUUUCCAUUCACCACAAUCUAAUCAGGUAUGUUCAAAUAUAGUUCAAGCUGGCACCAAUUCUAAGAUUUUCAUUUUCAUUAUUUCAUUUUUUAUUAGGUUGAUGUUUUUUUCGGCAUAGCCGUCUAAUUUCGUUUUGGCCCCGGAUAUG